UACAGAGGAGCCAAGCGUUGUCCGGAUUGACUGGGCGUAAAGCGCACGCAGGCGGACGCGCGCGUGGGGUGUGAAAUCUGGCCGCUUAACGGCCAGGCGCCAUCCCAUACGGCGCGUCUGGAGUGAUGCAGAGGUCGAUGGAAUUGCCGGUGUAGUGGUGAAAUGCGUAGAUAUCGGGAGGAACACCAGUGGCGAAGGCGACUACCUGGCCUGUUCUUGACGCUGAGGCGCGAAAGCGUGGGGAGCGAACAGG
rnacentral:rRNA from 1 species